UUGAUAAGGAUUUGGUAAGGGGGCUAACUCUAUCUGCGCCAAAGUUCUUACAAUUAUACACGUAAAGCGCGUUCCGGCGUACUGUAUCGAAUAUCGAAACGUCGAGAGACUGUUGUAAAGUAUAAAAAGUACGGAUGGCGACCCUGACCGAACACAGGACACGAACGUGCAGUAACGAAACAUUAUUAUUAGGUAUUGUUAUUUUUAAGCACA